UACGAAGGGGGCUAGCGUUGCUCGGAAUCACUGGGCGUAAAGGGUGCGUAGGCGGGUCUUUAAGUCAGGGGUGUAAUCCUGGAGCUCAACUCCAGAACUGCCUUUGAUACUGAAGAUCUUGAGUUCGGGAGAGGUGAGUGGAACUGCGAGUGUAGAGGUGAAAUUCGUAGAUAUUCGCAAGAACACCAGUGGCGAAGGCGGCUCACUGGCCCGAUACUGACGCUGAGGCACGAAAGCGUGGGGAGCAAACAGG
rnacentral:rRNA from 1 species